AUAUUUUAGUUAUUAUAAUGUUGCUUAGGAAUACAUCUAAAUAAAUAUAGAAGAUGAGAAAUAACAGAGGUUACGCAAAGUCUUAUUUCUAUUUUCUUCUUUACUCCUCUCUUGUCUUCUUCUUUUCUCUGUAUUCUGUAGUAAUAAAUUUCUCUAGCACUGUUUCUACGCUUUCACCAAUCAUCACCAAUAUGAGCUUGAUGGGCCCAAUAACAUUUCCACUGAGGCCUGCAGGAAUCUUCCUACUGAUUUCAAUUUGAGUUGGAUAGGGCCCUUAAUGACAGAGAGCCAUCAAGGUAGCCACAGCAGAAUCAUGAGAAGGCUUGAGAAGCUCCAAGUCUAUUGUACCAGCAGACAGCAGUUCCUAAGGGACAGUCUACUAGCUGCCACAUCCCUUCCCUCUCAUCUCCUUUUGCUGUGGGAGGAUGAAGUGGGCCAGAGGAUGUCAAGGUUAUGACCAGUGAAAGAGUCACAGUGAAUGGUUUCAAAAGGAGGCUUCUUUACUUCUCUGAGGGAAGACAUCAGGGUCCUGAUACUGUAUCGAUUGAAAUCAAGGCACACAGAAUCAGCCACAGAAUUACAGUUUUCAGCAGAUCUCGCUUUCCAGGCAAGAGGUUAUAUCCACAGAAACUGUAGCUUGAUGGACCCUCUUCAAAAUCAAAAAGCUGACAACUUAAACCUAAACUUCAACUUCGGAAGCUAGUGAAUCAUCACUCAAAGAAAAGAAAGGAAAGAGAAUUUGCUAUUUUUCACCAAAGGAUUCGUAUAAAUUUAUCAGCUUCUUAUUCACAAACUAUGCUGUGCAAUGUGAGGUAGGGGCUAAAGCAGAAGAUUGGGAGUCAGGACAGCUGGAUUUGAUUCUUGAAUCAAGUUACUGAGAGAACCAAGACUUUAACUUCUGUGGUCCUCAGUUACCCAUAAUUAAAAUGGGUAUUAUUAUAACAUUUACCUAUGUCAUCGAAAGGC
rnacentral:lncRNA from 1 species